AGCUGCUGACAGGCAGAUAGCAGCUAACAGCGCUAACGGCUCAGACUGAUAAGCUUUAGGACCACCUGGUUAAUGUGGAGCUGAGGAGAUUCGGGAGGGAAAGUCUUCCACCUCAAAGACCCUCUGUGG